GAAUGACAUCAGACUGGGCUUGUGCCUGAUAAUUCAUUUCUGAAGGUGCAAUAUUAAGUGUCACAGUGUCCAGCUGGUGAUAUUUUCAGCAUAGAAACCUGUUAGACACGGCAGCAUUAAGGAGAUGGAAUGAAUUGAUUUAUUUCUCUUCUGAAUUGCUUGGCAGUGCUUCAAGAUUGACGCAUCAGAUUUGCACAAUGUGCCACUUUAGGAGAUUAUUUCUUCCUUCCUUCAGCCAGACAGAAGACUGCAGUAGGUAAUGAUAGCUUAAACUUGGGAAAUGUCCUUCUUCAGAGACAGCGUCACGGACAUUUUGGAGAGGAUCAGAUUACUCUACAGCUGCUUUCCCUGGUGGACCUGAGGAGGCACACCCCUGAGCCAGGACUUUAAGGGAGAGGGUAGAACAACCUAGAAGCUCAGAAGGGAUAUGGUUCCUGUUUGCCUAUUUCCAUCCACAACUCUGCCAGAGACGAAAGCAGUGUUUGAAACAAUUCACCAAGAUUUCCAUCUGGAAUCAUCAAGAAUGGAAUUGAUCAAAUUCCUUAAGAAAUUUACUUAAAGUCAUGAUUUUGACAGCCUAGUGCUACCUGGAAAAGGGACAGCAGCAGCCUGGAGCAGUUUUCUAGCUAACAAGAAUUUUGUUAGCUAUGUGGCCACCUAGUGGCUCUUCCAUGGAUGUCGCUGAUGCAUUGUCAGGUACACAGACAAUUGCCCACUAAUAAAGAAGUUAUUAUCUUUCUUGGAGGGCAAUAACAGAGAAAUAGAGGCCACCAUCUGUGUGAAUACUUCACUGUGAUUAUCUCUCACCAUCAUCAAAUAGUUCAGAGCACUGAUCCUCACGAGUUGGACAUUUCCCCAUGAAACAGUAGCCUUCUGAGUUCUUGCAAGGAAAUCCAUUGACCCUGAACUGGUCCUUAGGACAGGCAGGCGAGUGGCCAGUGCACAUCUCAGGAAAAUCACAUUCAUCUUUCGCCGGUCUGCAUAUGGACCCUGCUUUUUUUAUCUGUUGAGGAAAAACAAAGAGACUAAAUCCUGGAUACAUUUAGGGUCAUACUGCUUCCCUGUACUGAAGUGUGAUGUGAGACUAUUCAACUGCUGAAGAUCUGAUUUUACCUUUUGCUCAAGCUGUCCAUUAUUUCAGGCUGACUUUUAUUUUUUAAUGUAUCAUUAAAUAACAUCAAAAUGGUAACUUAUGCCCUAUUUUCUCAAACAAAAUAAAAACUCAAAGAAAAUGGAGUGU
rnacentral:lncRNA from 1 species